rnacentral:rRNA from 1 species
UACGUAGGGGGCAAGCGUUGUCCGGAUUAUUGGGCGUAAAGAGCUCGUAGGUGGUUCGGUAAGUCGGAUGUGAAAUCUCCAGGCUCAACCUGGAGGGGUCAUUCGAUACUGCCGUGACUAGAGGUCGGUAGGGGAGUGUGGAAUUCCUGGUGGAGCGGUGAAAUGCGCAGAUAUCAGGAGGAACACCCGUAGCGAAGGCGGCACUCUGGGCCGAUACUGACACUGAGGAGCGAAAGCGUGGGGAGCGAACAGG